rnacentral:lncRNA from 1 species
UUCCCCUCCCUCCAUCAUACGAUGAUGGGGUGGAGCAAUAUCUUCACGAGCGACAGCACUCAGCUUCUCGAUCAAGGCCAUCGCUCGUCAUUUGAGAGGUGGAGCUAUCUUGCAAGCUCCGUAUUGGCUUGGGAGGUAUUGAAAAUUAUCAUUUUUACUUCAAAAGAGCUCGUACCUACAGCUUCGAGGGAUUUCUCCUAUUCCAUGUU